rnacentral:rRNA from 1 species
CGGUUAACCUGCCUCUUAGGCGGGGAUAACUAUGGAACGAUAGCUAAUACCGCAUAAAAGUCGACAUUGCAUGAUGUUGACUUGAAAGGUGCAACUGCAUCACUAAGAGAUGGACCUGCGUUGUAUUAGCUAGUUGGUGAGGUAACGGCUCACCAAGGCGACGAUACAUAGCCGACCUGAGAGGGUGAUCGGCCACACUGGGACUGAGACACGGCCCAG